ACCGAGGUCUAUCCCGACAUACCUUUUUACUGUAGGGCCUGUCGUUGGAAAUGCCUCGAAUAUUAAAUCUGUGGUUUCGCUUUACCCACAUGUUCACUACCAUGAGCUAUGUGGGAUAUUACUGCAGAACACAU